rnacentral:rRNA from 1 species
AGUGAACGCUGGCGGUAGGCCUAACACAUGCAAGUCGAACGGCAGCACAGUAAGAGCUUGCUCUUACGGGUGGCGAGUGGCGGACGGGUGAGGAAUACAUCGGAAUCUACUUUUUCGUGGGGGAUAACGUAGGUAAACUUACGCUAAUACCGCAUACGACCUACGGGUGAAAGCAGGGGAUCUUCGGACCUUGCGCGAUUGAAUGAGCCGAUGUCGGAUUAGCUAGUUGGCGGGGUAAAGGCCCACCAAGGCGACGAUCCGUAGCUGGUCUGAGAGGAUGAUCAGCCACACUAGAACUGAGGCACGGUCCAGACUACUACGGGAGGCAGCAGUGGGGAAUAUUGGACAAUGGGCGCAAGCCUGAUCCAGCCCUACCGCGUGGGUGAAGAAGGCCUUCGGGUUGUAAAGCCCUUUUGUUGGGAAAGAAAAGCAGCAGGUUAAUACCCCGCUGUUCUGACGGUACCCAAAGAAUAAGCACCGGCUAACUUCGUG